UACGAAGGGGGCUAGCGUUGCUCGGAUUUACUGGGCGUAAAGGGCGCGUAGGCGGACAGUUUAGUCAGAGGUGAAAGCCCAGGGCUCAACCUUGGAAUUGCCUUUGAUACUGGCUGUCUUGAGUACGGGAGAGGUGAGUGGAACUCCGAGUGUAGAGGUGAAAUUCGUAGAUAUUCGGAAGAACACCAGUGGCGAAGGCGGCUAACUGGUCCAGUACUGACGCUGAGGUGCGAAAGCGUGGGGAGCAAACAGG
rnacentral:rRNA from 1 species